GGCUCAGGACGAACGCUGGCGGCGUGCUUAACACAUGCAAGUCGAGCGGUAAGGCUCCUUCGGGAGUACACGAGCGGCGAACGGGUGAGUAACACGUGAGCAACCUGCCCUUCACUUUGGGAUAACCCCGGGAAACCGGGGCUAAUACCGAAUACGACCACCGACGGCAUCGUCUGGUGGUGGAAAGUUCCGGCGGUGAGGGAUGGGCUCGCGGCCUAUCAGCUUGUUGGUGGGGUGACGGCCCACCAAGGCGACGACGGGUAGCCGGCCUGAGAGGGUGACCGGCCACACUGGGACUGAGACACGGCCCAGACUCCUACGGGAGGCAGCAGUGGGGAAUAUUGGACAAUGGGCGAAAGCCUGAUCCAGCAACGCCGCGUGAGGGAUGACGGCCUUCGGGUUGUAAACCUCUUUCAGCAGGGACGAAGCGAGAGUGACGGUACCUGCAAAAGAAGCACCGGCCAACUACGUGCCAGCAGCCGCGGUAACACGUAGGGUGCGAGCGUUGUCCGGAAUUAUUGGGCGUAAAGGGCUCGUAGGCGGUCCGUCACGUCGGGAGUGAAAACUCGGGGCUCAACCCCGAGCCUGCUUCCGAUACGGGCGGACUAGAGGUAGGUAGGGGAGAACGGAAUUCCUGGUGUAGCGGUGGAAUGCGCAGAUAUCAGGAGGAACACCGGUGGCGAAGGCGGUUCUCUGGGCCUUACCUGACGCUGA
rnacentral:rRNA from 1 species